rnacentral:rRNA from 1 species
GACGAACACUGGCGGCGUGCUUAACACAUGCAAGUCGAACGAUGAACCCGGAGCUUGCUCCGGCGGAUUAGUGGCGAACGGGUGAGUAACACGUGAGUAACCUGCCCUUGACUCUGGGAUAACUGCUAGAAAUGGUAGCUAAUACCGGAUACGACCCUCGGUGGCAUCACCAGGGGGUGGAAAGAAUUUCGGUCAAGGAUGGACUCGCGGCCUAUCAGCUAGCUGGUGAGGUAACGGCUCACCAAGGCGACGACGGGUAGCCGGCCUGAGAGGGUGACCGGCCACACUGGGACUGAGACACGGCCCAGACUCCUACGGGAGGCAGCAGUGGGGAAUAUUGCACAAUGGGCGCAAGCCUGAUGCAGCAACGCCGCGUGAGGGAUGACGGCCUUCGGGUUGUAAACCUCUUUUAGUAGGGAAGAAGCGAAAGUGACGGUACCUGCAGAAAAAGCACCGGCUAACUACGUGCCAGCCGCCGCAGUAA